rnacentral:rRNA from 1 species
GGUGGACACUGGCGCACGGGUGAGUAACGCGUGGGAACCUACCCUGGGGUGGGGGACAACCACUGGAAACGGUGGCUAAUACCGCAUACGCCCUCCGGGGGAAAACUUUUGUGCCCUGGGAUGGUCCCGCGUCGGAUUAGCUAGUUGGUGGGGUAACGGCCUACCAAGGCGACGAUCCGUAACUGGUCUGAGAGGAUGAUCAGUCACACUGGAACUGAGACACGGUCCAGACUCCUACGGGAGGCAGCAGUAGGGAAUAUUGC